UGCACCGAAGCUGCGGCAGCGACGCUUAUGCGUUGUUGGGUAGGGGAGCGUUCUGUAAGCCGUUGAAGGUGUCCUGUGAGGGGUGCUGGAGGUAUCAGAAGUGCGAAUGCUGACAUAAGUAACGAUAAAGCGGGUGAAAAGCCCGCUCGCCGGAAGACCAAGGGUUCCUGUCCAACGUUAAUCGGGGCAGGGUGAGUCGACCCCUAAGGCGAGGCCGAAAGGCGUAGUCGAUGGGAAACAGGUUAAUAUUCCUGUACUUGGUGUUACUGCGAAGGGGGGACGGAGAAGGCUAUGUCAGCCGGGCGACGGUUGUCCCGGUUUAAGCAUGUAGGCGGAGGUUCCAGGUAAAUCCGGUACCUUGUUAACGCUGAGGUGUGAUGACGAGGCACUACGGUGCUGAAGUGAUAAAUGCCCUGCUUCCAGGAAAAGCCUCUAAGCAUCAGGUAACACGAAAUCGUACCCCAAACCGACACAGGUGGUCAGGUAGAGAAUACCAAGGCGCUUGAGAGAACUCGGGUGAAGGAACUAGGCAAAAUGGUGCCGUAACUUCGGGAGAAGGCACGCUGAUAUGUAGGUGAGGUCCCUGCGGACGGAGCUGAAAUCAGUCGAAGAUACCAGCUGGCUGCAACUGUUUAUUAAAAACACAGCACUGUGCAAACACGAAAGUGGACGUAUACGGUGUGACGCCUGCCCGGUGCCGGAAGGUUAAUUGAUGGGGUUAGCGGCAACGCGAAGCUCUUGAUCGAAGCCCCGGUAAACGGCGGCCGUAACUAUAACGGUCCUAAGGUAGCGAAAUUCCUUGUCGGGUAAGUUCCGACCUGCACGAAUGGCGUAAUGAUGGCCAGGCUGUCUCCACCCGAGACUCAGUGAAAUUGAACUCGCUGUGAAGAUGCAGUGUACCCGCGGCAAGACGGAAAGACCCCGUGAACCUUUACUAUAGCUUGACACUGAACACUGGUCCUUGAUGUGUAGGAUAGGUGGGAGGCUUUGAAGCGUGGACGCCAGUCUGCGUGGAGCCAACCUUGAAAUACCACCCUUUAAUGGCUGGUGUUCUAACGUAGACCCGUAAUCCGGGUUGCGGACAGUGUCUGGUGGGUAGUUUGACUGGGGCGGUCUCCUCCCAAAGAGUAACGGAGGAGCACGAAGGUUGGCUAAUCCUGGUCGGACAUCAGGAGGUUAGUGCAAUGGCAUAAGCCAGCUUGACUGCGAGCGUGACGGCGCGAGCAGGUGCGAAAGCAGGUCAUAGUGAUCCGGUGGUUCUGAAUGGAAGGGCCAUCGCUCAACGGAUAAAAGGUACUCCGGGGAUAACAGGCUGAUACCGCCCAAGAGUUCAUAUCGACGGCGGUGUUUGGCACCUCGAUGUCGGCUCAUCACAUCCUGGGGCUGAAGUAGGUCCCAAGGGUAUGGCUGUUCGCCAUUUAAAGUGGUACGCGAGCUGGGUUUAGAACGUCGUGAGACAGUUCGGUCCCUAUCUGCCGUGGGCGCUGGAGAAUUGAGGGGGGCUGCUCCUAGUACGAGAGGACCGGAGUGGACGCAUCACUGGUGUUCGGGUUGUCAUGCCAAUGGCACUGCCCGGUAGCUAAAUGCGGAAGAGAUAAGUGCUGAAAGCAUCUAAGCACGAAACUUGCCCCGAGAUGAGUUCUCCCUGAGACCUUGAGUCUCCUGAAGGAACGUUGAAGACUACGACGUUGAUAGGUCGGGUGUGUAAGCGCAGCGAUGCGUUGAGCUAACCGAUACUAAUGAACCGUGAGGCUUAACCUU
rnacentral:rRNA from 1 species